rnacentral:tRNA from 1 species
UCCCUGGAGGACUAGUGGUUAGGCCACAGCAUUCUCACCACCGUAGUACAGGUUUGAUUCCCGGCCAGGGAA